rnacentral:lncRNA from 1 species
UAAAAUGUUUUACACUCUGCUAAACAUGUUAAGAGAUAAGUACUUCUAUCCUCCUCAAAAUGGUAAACACUUACCCAUUGAAUCGAAAUCUUUCUUGAGCAUCAACAGAUGGGGAGAUGUAAAACGUCUAGUAUGAAGCCACUAUUAUGUAGAAUUGAUACCGUAAAAGUGCAAGUGGAUCCCUUCCCAAUAUCAUUCCAUAUAAAAACAAUAUUAGUGUAAAUUCCAUAAACAAACAUUCUUGAUUGAAAAAAGUUCGAUCAAUAAACUAAAGUUUUGUUAUACACACCAUAAUCACAUCAACAUCCAAUUAACAAAAAAUUCAUUCUGUUACCUUUCCUAUGGUGUCGCUUCAUGAAUAAUAUCAAUACCUUUUACUGGUUCCUUAAUUCCAAUAUCUACAAGACACAAAAAACUAAAAGAGCAUAUAUAAAGCUCCAAUAGAAAAACUCCUUAGCCCAAACUUCAAUUAAUUCAAUAAUUAUAAGUGAGAAGAAGCAUAAAAAGGGUGUGAAUGCCUACAAUUACAAUUACCUUUGUGCAGAUAAAUGGCUACAAACAAUCGAAAGCCAAAACGACAAAGAAACUUAAAGACAUUGUAGAUGAUUAAUAAAAUGCAAUUUAAAAAUAUACCUUUACAACUCCAAUGUCUAAGACGUAUGGAGUGAAAGCUAUUCCAAUAGAAGUGCUCAUCCAGUCAUCUGUAAAAAUAAAUAAAUUCUCAAAAGUCAAAAUAGACCGUCUUCCAAAUGAAGCACUGCAAUAAAUCUUGGAUAAAUAAAAGUAGAAAACCUUGCAAGUAAACAUACAGAAAAAAACAAGAAAAAUUAAAAGAAGGUGACACAAGUAAGAAAAGAAAGAUUAAAAAAUAAUUAAAAAAUACCAGAAAAAGGAAAAUAAAGGCCCAAGAACUGAAACUAUUCCCAUAGAAUCCAAUGAAUGGUUGGAUCUUCAAUUGCUACUUGAAAAUCCAAAGAACACACAGCCUUCGCACGGAGGGAGAAAAUGUUUCUUCUGGCGGAGACGAAUUGAUUAUUGAUGGUUUCUUUGAGUGGAGGAGGAGAAAUGGAGAGCUUCUUCGAAGAAGUGGAGGUGGCCACAACCAACAAGCUCUGAAUUGAGAAAUCAAUCAACAAAGACAUGAUUAAGAAGAGGAGAGGAAAAGAGGAGGAUGAAGGACCUGAGAAAACAAUUAGAGCAAAGAAAAAUGGACAAGAAAUAAUUACUUCAGAUAUUUAUUCAUGAACAGUGGAAGAUAAUUUAAUGAACAGUGAGAAGCUAGUUAUUGAACAAUAAUGGAACCAGAUUCAGUGUGAAAAGGAGGCCACAAGAAUAAAU